UCCAGACUCCUACGGGAGGCAGCAGUGAGGAAUAUUGGUCAAUGGGCUUACGCCUGAACCAGCCAAGUCGCGUGAGGGAAGACUGCCCUAUGGGUUGUAAACCUCUUUUGUCAGGGAGCAACGCCGGCUACGUGUAGCCGGACUGAGAGUACCUGAAGAAAAAGCAUCGGCUAACUCCGUGCCAGCAGCCGCGGUAAUACGGAGGAUGCGAGCGUUAUCCGGAUUUAUUGGGUUUAAAGGGUGCGUAGGCGGAGUGUCAAGUCAGCGGUAAAAUUUCGGGGCUCAACCCCGUCGUGCCGUUGAAACUGACACCCUUGAGUGAGUGAGAAGUAAGCGGAAUGCGUGGUGUAGCGGUGAAAUGCAUAGAUAUCACGCAGAACUCCGAUUGCGAAGGCAGCAUACCGGCGCGCAACUGACGCUCAUGCACGAAAGCGUGGGUAUCGAACAGGAUUAGAUACCCGGGUAAC
rnacentral:rRNA from 1 species